GGUCCGAGCGCGGAUCUUGCGUAGCGCGCCACUAGUCUGCGAUCGCACGCAAAGUGGCGUGGCCACGCACACGUUUGCCGAAGUUUCGAGCGUGAUUUUGGGGAAUUCGCAGGGAGAAAAGCGGAGAAGCCAUACCUAUCACCGGGUGUCCUCGUAAUACAUAAAUUAACAUUCGUUGCAUUUCUCAAUUCGAACGCUCGACAAAGUCACUGCGAUAGAAAGACUGGGUCCUAUCGCCUAUCGCCGUUAGUUCGCGUUUAAUAACUCGAUCAUUUAGUGUGCCGCCCGUACCAGCCAGAAGAUGCCACAACCGGCCCACGAAACGAAGAACAUUCUGAUGACGUACUUGAUACUCAUUCUCCUACUAAUCUCGCUCUGGUUACUAUACUCGGGGAUGUUUUAUUAAGCACGAUACAUUCCUCAUCAUGGGCUGAAGAACAAUGAGAACACGUGUCGCAGGGCAGAUGCAUGCGGAGGACUCAGGAUUGCUAUGGACACACCUCAUUCGAAGCCCACCGGCUCUCUCUCUCUCUCUUUCUCUCUCUCUCUCUCUCUCUCUCGCGCCAUCAUUUGUUCUCGUACUACGUUCUACAAUAUAUUUAGGUGCCUUGAAGAUAAUCGCGCGCAAAUCGCUUUCUCAUUGUUCCGCAAUCGAUCGAUCGGGACCGUUUCCGCCAUCGGUUUUUCCAUCGUUUUCCUCGAAAGUUCAGAAAGAUUCCGGGGGCGGAAACGUGGCGGGAGUUAGGAAGGAGCAGCAGCGAGGGGAUGAAGCGCGAAAAUUUCCUCACACCCUCGUCGCUUGAUCGACUUCUCCGAACGCUCCGUCGCGGAAAUCGGCUUCCUCAUUGAAAAUAAUUCUCGAAUUACAUUACGCUAAUUAUAUUGUCUUAGACGAGAAGAAACGCUGCGGCGACGGCGGCAGUCGGACACGAAAUGAUGUAUUUAUUGUGUCCGCCGAUUUGCAAACGCGUGUCGUCGUCGUCAUCGUCAACGGAAUCUGUCCUCGUUCGAAAUCGUCGAUCGUCAAUAAAUAACGUCUAAGAUCAGCUCCGAAAGCGUGGCGCGCUCGUCGUAUCGCGGGUCGCUGUUUUAUUUUCUCCUCUCUCUCUCUCUCUCUCUCUCGAUCAUAUUUUAUUAUUGUAUUGUAUCGCACACAUGAAGAAAAAUAAUUCUGCUGAUAAUUUUGCGGCGAAACCAUCGUUGUUACCGCGUUACCGUUGGGACCGUAGCGAGAAAAUUUAGCCGGCAAAUUGGCGAAUUAUUUGUAACUGGAGGAAAAAAACAGUCUCGUCGCCAGGAUAGAAAGAAGAAAAUCUGCUAAGAUUCGAAUUUGUCCUUAGGAUACGUUGACUUGGAACGAAAUAGCGCUUUCCCGCGUUUACUGAUUUCUAUCUUACAGCAAAAUAAUUCGCAUAUUCAGCAAAACGAUGGCAGUGAGCGGCGAAUCGGUAUUCUUAAGGAGUCGUCUCGCCGUUCACGCAGUAUCCUGACAGGAUCUCGCUACGACAAAUUCACGUCGGAAAUUUGCCGCGCCGGCGAAUUAUUUUUCCCUCGCGGAUUUGCUCGCAGGCUAAAUCUCUCUUCGAUGAUAGCGCAGACGACGAAAUAAAUCUCUCUUCGUUCGGAA